rnacentral:rRNA from 1 species
GAUGAACGCUGGCGGCGUGCCUAAUACAUGCAAGUCGAGCGAACAGACGAGGAGCUUGCUCCUCUGACGUUAGCGGCGGACGGGUGAGUAACACGUGGAUAACCUACCUAUAAGACUGGGAUAACUUCGGGAAACCGGAGCUAAUACCGGAUAAUAUAUUGAACCGCAUGGUUCAAUAGUGAAAGACGGUUUUGCUGUCACUUAUAGAUGGAUCCGCGCAGAAUUAGCUAGUUGGUAAGGUAACGGCUUACCAAGGCGACGAUGCGUAGCCGACCUGAGAGGGUGGUCGGCCACACUGGAACUGAGACACGGUCCAGACUCCGACGGGAGGCAGCAGUAGGGAAUCUUCCGCAAUGGGCGAAAGCCUGACGGAGCAACGCCGCGUGAGUGAUGAAGGUCUUCUGAUCGUAAAACUCUGUUAUUAGGGAAGAACAAAUGUGUAAGUAACUAUGCACGUCUUGACGGUACCUAAUCAGAAAGCCACGGCUAACUACGUG